rnacentral:rRNA from 1 species
GACGGAGGAUGCAAGCGUUAUCCGGAAUGAUUGGGCGUAAGCGUCCGCAGGUGGCAGGUCAAGGCUGCUGUCAAAGACCGGGGCUUAACCUCGGAAAGGCAGUGGAAACUGAACAGCUAGAGUAUGGUAGGGGCAGAGGGAAUUCCUGGUGUAGCGGUGAAAUGCGUAGAGAUCAGGAAGAACAUCGGUGGCGAAGGCGCUCUGCUGGACUAUAACUGACACUCAGGGACGAAAGCUAGGGGAGCGAAUGGG